UAACAACCACGCUAUUAGUCUGAAGUCACAAACGGCCGGUCAACGUGAGGGCGGCAGAUUUCGUUUCCGGACAGAUAUUGUCGAGCAAAAUCACGUUUACGACAGUCGGGUGGUUUGAAGCACCAAGAGUGACCGGGAUCAGGGCGGGUCUCCGGAGUCGGGCCUGAACUUUCGACCUUCAGAGGAGCUGGAACCAGAGCUGGCGUGCAGAAGGGUCACGGGGAAGGGAAUGAAGCUCUUCAGCUGUGAGCAGUGCACAACGCGGGACUAGAGAGAUUGGGGCACCGACUCCCGGGCAAGAUGGUGCAGCCUGUCCCCUUCACCAGGUUAUCUGCUGCCCCCGACCCUCCAUCAGCAGGAGUCACGGAGCCGGGGCUGAGAGAACGCCCGGUCCAGCCGGCUGCCCACCCACCCUGCCACCUCCCUCCCCCGCUACGCCCCACUCAGCCAGCCGGUCCCUUUUCACACGAAUGAACCUGUAGCAGGAGUGAGCUGCCAGUUCCCGCCACAGUUUACCUGGGUUGUGUCUUUCUCCGGUCUUUGGCAGGAAGUAACGGGCUUGCAAAUUGUGGAACAGGGGGUGGAUGCAAGUGGUUUCAGAAUAAAAUCAUUAUUUAAAAUGUUUAAAA